rnacentral:rRNA from 1 species
CCCUGUCCUCCUAUUUUCAGUUGGUUUGCCGCGAGGACCAGGGUAAUGAUUAAUAGGGAUAGUUGGGGGCAUUAAUAUUUAAUUGUCAGAGGUGAAAUUCUUGGAUUUAUGAAAGAUUAACUUCUGCGAAAGCAUCUGCCAAGGAUGUUUUCAUUAAUCAAGAACGAAAGUUAGGGGAUCGAAGACGAUCAGAUACCGUCGUAGUCUUAACCAUAAACGAUGCCGACCAGCGAUUAGGAGACGUUGAAUACAAAACACCACCAUGCGCAUUGCGGUCGUCUUUGGUGUCGCUCACAAGGCGGCACCGGGGCGGCUUAGCUCGCAUGGCACCGGUGAAUGACUCCCUA